rnacentral:rRNA from 1 species
ACCCUACGGGGCGCAGCAGUGGGGGAUAUUGGACAAUGGGGGAAACCCUGAUCCAGCGAUGCCGCGUGAGGGAAGAAGGUUUUCGGAUUGUAAACCUCUGUGGAGGGGGACGAUAAUGACGGUACCCCUUUAGGAAGCCACGGCUAACUACGUGCCAGCAGCCGCGGUAAUACGGAAGGUCCGGGCGUUAUCCGGAUUUAUUGGGUUUAAAGGGGGCGUAGGCCGGCUUUUAAGUCAGCUGUGAAAGUCCGCGGCUCAGCCGUGGAAUUGCAGUUGAAACUGGAGGCCUUGAGUG